AUGAGGUGCCCUGCUCAGCUCCUGGGGCUGCUCAUGCUCUGGAUCCCUGGAACCAAUGGAGCAGUUCUGAUGACCCAGACUCCACUCUCCCUGCCUGUCACCCUGGGAGAGCCGGCCUCCAUCUCCUGCAGGUCUAGUCAGAGCCUCCUGCAUAGUAAUGGAAAAAACUAUUUGUACUGGUACCUGCAGAAGCCAGGCCAGUCUCCACAACUCCUGAUCUAUUGGGGUUCUAACCGAGCAUCUGGGGUCCCAGACAGGUUCCGUGGCAGUGGGUCAGGCACAGAUUUCACACUGACCAUCAGCAGGGUGGAGCGUGAGGACUUGGGGGUUUAUUACUGCAUGCAUGCUAUAGAAUUUCCUCCCACAGUGAUACACCCUGAAACAAAAACCUUCCUUCUUGGCUUGGCCCAGCUGUCCUAA